GCAUAUCAAUAAGCGGAGGAAAAGAAACCAACAGGGAUUGCCCCCAGUAACGGCGAGUGAAGCGGCAACAGCUCAAAUUUGAAAUCUGGCCCUUUUGGGUCCGAGUUGUAAUUUGUAGAGGAUGCUUUUGGCAAGGUGCCGCCCGAGUUCCCUGGAACGGGACGCCACAGAGGGUGAGAGCCCCGUCUGGCUGGCCACCGAGCCUCUGUAAAGCUCCUUCGACGAGUCGAGUAGUUUGGGAAUGCUGCUCAAAAUGGGAGGUAUAUGUCUUCUAAAGCUAAAUAUUGGCCAGAGACCGAUAGCGCACAAGUAGAGUGAUCGAAAGAUGAAAAGCACCUUGAAAAGAGGGUUAAAUAGUACGUGAAAUUGUUGAAAGGGAAGCGCUUGUGACCAGACUUGGGCGCGGCGGAUCAUCCGGGGUUCUCCCCGGUGCACUUCGCCGUGUCCAGGCCAGCAUCAGUUCGUCGCGGGGGAAAAAGGCUUCGGGAACGUGGCUCCCCUGGGAGUGUUAUAGCCCGUUGCAUAAUACCCUGCGGUGGACUGAGGACCGCGCAUCUGCAAGGAUGCUGGCGUAAUGGUCACCAGCGACCCGUCUUGAAACACGGACCAAGGAGUCGUCUUCGUAUGCGAGUGUUCGGGUGUCAAACCCCUACGCGUAAUGAAAGUGAACGCAGGUGAGAGCUUCGGCGCAUCAUCGACCGAUCCUGAUGUUCUCGGAUGGAUUUGAGUAAGAGCAUACGGGGCCGGACCCGAAAGAAGGUGAACUAUGCCUGUAUAGGGUGAAGCCAGAGGAAACUCUGGUGGAGGCUCGCAGCGGUUCUGACGUGCAAAUCGAUCGUCAAAUAUGGGCAUGGGGGGCGAAAGACUAAUCGAACCUUCUAGUAGCUGGUUUCCGCG
rnacentral:rRNA from 1 species